CUCAUCUGGUUUGGCGCCUCCCUACAAUCUCACUAGAGUACGACUACUAUUUUUCUCUGAAGUUGCCUAUUUUGUGUAUAGUGCUAGACAUUAUGAGCUGCUCUAUUCUAUUUUGUGUACAUCUAGUUUGCCUCUAUCAGUAUUCUUUUUAAGAAGGCCGCGCAUGUCUCUCCAAAAUCUUCAACUUUCGGUCUCGUAAUAUUUCUGUAGGCUCUUCCUCACCUCACCUUUUCUCUCUCCCUGAUCGAGCACCUUCGCCAUGGGAGAGGAAGGUUGUUUCAUCCGCCUGCUGUACUGCUGCUCUAGGGGACAUGCACCUGCUUGUUGUGCUGCUGCUCUGUACGCCAUGGACAUCCCUCCUCUGGUUCUCCUCGCUCGUCAAGGUAGUAAGCUGCUCUAACCCAUCUUCCCCUCUCAAAUUCGGUACAAGAAAAUGAUUUUUGUAACUGGACAUCAAAAGCAGAACCGGUGUGUGUUGUUGGUCAAGCAAGAAGAAAGAAAAAAGGCAUCCGUUGCCUGCAAAACAAAUCUGUGUGUGUGCUGCUCUCCUCCUCCUCUGUUUUUGCUUGUGUCAAUUUGCUCCAACAGCUUGCGCGCGUGUGUGCAUCCAUUGGGAGAGAGAGAGGCUCUUGCCAACACCUCUACAAUCUCACCGGAGUUCUAUUUUUCUGUGAUGUUGCCUAUUUUGUUGUUGAAAUUGACCGUAUCCCUGUGUCAAAUGGAUAUUUUUUCCUCCAUUGAAAUGAAGCAUAUUGCUUUUGAGUGCUCACAUUGACAUUACUGUGGAAUAAAAUGUUCAUUAUAUGCUCUUCUGUUGAAUAACGUGUAAAACAGGUCCAGCCAUUUGCCAAGUCUAUUAUAUUUGUUCUAAAAGAAAAGAAAAAAAAAACAGGUUCUUGCCUAUCUAUAGUAUAUGUGUUUUCAAAAAAGCUGUAUCUUUUUCUUCGAGAGAGAUGCACUUCUGUAUCAACAUUCUUUUUAAAAAGUGACACAUGUCUAUCCAAAAUUUUGAACUUCAUGGCCUCGUAUAAUUUCUUGAGUUGGUGAAAGUAAUUGCCGGAUACUGAGAGUAACCACAACAGAUAAAUAUGUCAUCAAACCACCAUGUUCUACCCCAUUUUGGAGGAACAAGAUUAAAGUCAUACCAGCAGAAUUAACUACAUGAAAGGUCCAUCCUUUUCAGGAAAAACCCACCGUGCAGCCCUACGAGCAAGUUCAUGAGCAGAAGGAUUGAGCUCAAUCAAUAAAUUUGAAUACUGGCUAGGCACACAUCCACACGGAAACCAGUACUAGAUCGAACAGUAUUGACCAUGGGUUCAGGUUGACAAUGGUCAUAAACCUCUCAUCACUUUGGUAUGUUGAUUGACCUCUUUUUUGCACUGCAUGUGCAGGUGCUAAACAUUGGUACGUGUUGGUGGGGCUCGACAAGCUCACCCAGGGAGGGCACCCCCAAGCUGAACUCCAUGGAGCCCCGCUCCAGCGUCUAGGACAGGUCUUUGUUACUGGAUCCAUUACUAGGACAUGAUUUCUUCUUUUCCUUCUCCAUUUGAGAUCAACAUUCGUUAUGUCCUUCUUGUGCAGCAGCAGCAGGAUUCCAUCGGUACACGAGAUGACAAGGGGUUCAUCGAGGUGUGUGGUGGUAGGCUCUUUCGUUGGACCCGCUGCCUGUUCGGCAUCGGCUCCAUAACAGUCAUGAACCAACUAGCCUGUCCUUCCAUUUGUGGUAUUGAUGGCCAUGGACCACGGUUCUAGUAGUCGGCAAAGCACGUAUCUACUAACUGCUCCUAUCCAGGAUGCGUGCAAAAGGUUCCCCUGGAGGUUGGGGCACACCGUGGAUGGCUUAAACCCCGCCCUUCUUCAGUUACAUUCUAGAUUGUGGUGCUGAUCUCAGUCAGGAAAAGGAAGAGAACAUUAUUGUUCUUCAUCUGUCCGUGAAGAAAGGUACUAGCAACUGCUACUACAACCUAGUACAAGAACUUCCUUUUAUCACACUUGCUGCUGCUUUUUACUAGAAUUGUCACAUAUGAGUUGCCAUUUGUUAUUUUCGUUUUGUUUUGGGGGCCUGCUAUAUUAUAAAUACCAAGUUAUACCUGAGUUUUUGUCAAAGUAUUACUUGAAAGUACAAAUGAAUUUUGAAUGAGUGGAAAACUUAGUAGUAGGCUCAUUUUAUUAGUUUUCUUCAGUACGAUCAUGCCUUGUUUUCGUAUCAUUUUGUUUAUGUUGGCAGAAUUAUUGCACAUAAUUAUAGUUCACAUAUGAUGUUGCAUUCGGAAAUCGAUUUGAACUCAUUGAGAUGCUCAAGGAGUCACAAACACUCGUCUUGCAAUGCAAGCACUUGUGCUGAUGACCAUCCAUCCUUGGUACAUUUAAUUACAUGGCAAUUUCUAGGAUUCUGGGUUGCGCUGAUGGUCUCUAAUGCAAGCACUUGUGCUUCUCGUGGUGAUUAUGGUAAAAUAAUUAGUGGAUUU